AAUAGCUCAAAUUUGAAAGCUGGCGUCUUCGACGUCCGCGUUGUAAUUUGUAGAGGAUGUUUCGGCGAGGGCUCCUGCCUAAGUUCCCUGGAAUGGGACGUCACAGAGGGUGAGAAUCCCGUAUGUGGCGGGCGGCCUUAGCCAUGUGAAACUCCUUCGACGAGUCGAGUUGUUUGGGAAUGCAGCUCUAAAUGGGAGGUAAAUUUCUUCUAAAGCUAAAUACCGGCCAGAGACCGAUAGCGCACAAGUAGAGUGAUCGAAAGAUGAAAAGCACUUUGGAAAGAGAGUUAAAAAGUACGUGAAAUUGUUGAAAGGGAAGCGCUUGCAACCAGACUCGUUCGCAGUUGCUCAGCCCGCCUCUUGGUGGGUGUACUCUUCUGCGGUCGGGCCAGCAUCAGUCCGGGCGGUCGGAUAAAGGUGUCGGGAAUGUAGCACCCUUCGGGGUGUGUUAUAGCCCGGCGCGGAAUGCGGCCAGCCUGGACUGAGGAUCUCGCUUCGGCAAGGAUGCUGGCGUAAUGGUUGUAAGCGGCCCGUCUUGAAACACGGACCAAGGAGUCUAACAUCUAUGCGAGUGUUUGGGUGUCAAACCCAUGCGCGUAAUGAAAGUGAACGGAGGUGGGAACCCGUAAGGGUGCACCAUCGACCGAUCCUGAUGUCUUCGGAUGGAUUUGAGUAAGAGCAUAGCUGUUGGGACCCGAAAGAUGGUGAACUAUGCCUGAAUAGGGUGAAGCCAGAGGAAACUCUGGUGGAGGCUCGCAGCGGUUCUGACGUGCAAAUCGAUCGUCAAAUU
rnacentral:rRNA from 1 species